AUUGAACGCUGGCGGCAGGCCUAACACAUGCAAGUCGAGCGGAUGAAGGGAGCUUGCUCCUGGAUUCAGCGGCGGACGGGUGAGUAAUGCCUAGGAAUCUGCCUGGUAGUGGGGGAUAACGUCCGGAAACGGGCGCUAAUACCGCAUACGUCCUGAGGGAGAAAGUGGGGGAUCUUCGGACCUCACGCUAUCAGAUGAGCAUAGGUCGGAUUAGCUAGUGGGUGGGGUAAAGGCCUACCAAGGCGACGAUCCGUAACUGGUCUGAGAGGAUGAUCAGUCACACUGGAACUGAGACACGGUCCAGACUCUUACGGGGGGCAGCAGUGGGGAAUAUUGGACGAUGGGGGAAAGCCUGAUCCAGCCAUGCCGGCGGUGUGAAGAAGGUCUUCUGAUUGUAGAGCACUUUAAGUUUUGAGGUAGGGCAGUAAGUUAAUACCUUGCUGUUUUGACGUUACCAACAGAAUAAGCACCGGCUAACUUCGUG
rnacentral:rRNA from 1 species